rnacentral:rRNA from 1 species
UGGGGAAUAUUGGACAAUGGGCGAAAGCCUGAUCCAGCCAUGCCGCGUGUGUGAAGAAGGUCUUCGGAUUGUAAAGCACUUUAAGUUGGGAGGAAGGGCAGUAAGCGAAUACCUUGCUGUUUUGACGUUACCGACAGAAUAAGCACCGGCUAACUCUGUGCCAGCAGCCGCGGUAAUACAGAGGGUGCAAGCGUUAAUCGGAAUUACUGGGCGUAAAGCGCGCGCAGGUGGUUCGUUAAGUUGAAUGUGAAAGCCCCGGGCUCAACCUGGGAACUGCAUCCAAAACUGGCGGGCUGGAGUAGGGCAGAGGGUGGUGGAAUUUCCUGUGUAGCGGUGAAAUGCGUAGAUAUAGGAAGGAACACCAGUGGCGAAGGCGACCACCUGGGCUCAUACUGACACUGAGGUGCGAAAGCGUGGGGAGCAAACAGG